ACUCCUACGGGAGGCAGCAGUGGGGAAUAUUGCACAAUGGGGAAGCCCAUCGAUGCAGCCAUGCCGCGCUGUGUGAAGAAGGCCAAUUCGGGGCUUUGGUUAAAUGACACUUUUCAGUAGGGAGGAAGGUAGUGUAGUUAACACCUGCACUAUUUGACGUUACCUACAGAAGAAGCACCGGCUAACUCCGUGCCAGCAGCCGCGGUAAUACGGAGGGUGCGAGCGUUAAUCGGAAUUACUGGGCGUAAAGCGCAUGCAGGCGGCCUGUUAAGUCAGAUGUGAAAG
rnacentral:rRNA from 1 species